rnacentral:rRNA from 1 species
AACGAACGCUGGCGGCAUGCCUAACACAUGCAAGUCGAACGAGACCUUCGGGUCUAGUGGCGCACGGGUGCGUCACGCGUGGGAACCUGCCCUUAGGUUCGGAAUAACUCCCCGAAAGGGGUGCUAAUACCGGAUAAUGUCUUCGGACCAAAGAUUUAUCGCCUUUGGAUGGGCCCGAGUUGGAUUAGCUAGUUGGUAGGGUAAAAGCCUACCAAGGCGACGAUCCAUAGCUGGUCUGAGAGGAUGAUCAGCCACACUGGGACUGAGACACGGCCCAGACUCCUACGGGAGGCAGGAGUGGGGAAUAUUGGACAAUGGGCGAAAGCCUGAUCCAGCAAGGCCGCGUGAGUGAUGAAAGCCUUAGGGUUGUAAAGCUCUUUUACCCGGGAUGAUAAUGACAGUACCGGGAGAAUAAGCUCCGGCUAACUCCGUG